CCAGACUCCUACGGGAGGCAGCAGUGAGGAAUAUUGGUCAAUGGUCGGGAGACUGAACCAGCCAAGCCGCGCGAGGGAUGAAGGUACAGAGUAUCGUAAACCUCUUUUGUCAGGGAACAAAGGCGGGGACGCGUCCCCGGAUGAGUGUACCUGAAGAAAAAGCAUCGGCUAACUCCGUGCCAGCAGCCGCGGUAAUACGGAGGAUGCGAGCGUUAUCCGGAUUUAUUGGGUUUAAAGGGUGCGUAGGCGGGGUGUUAAGUCCGGGGUCAAAUGUCGGGGCUCAACCCCGGCCUGCCGUUGAAACUGGCGGCCUCGAGUGGGCGAGAAGUAUGCGGAAUGCGUGGUGUAGCGGUGAAAUGCAUAGAUAUCACGCAGAACUCCGAUUGCGAAGGCAGCAUACCGGCGCCCUACUGACGCUGAGGCACGAAAGCGUGGGUAUCGAACAGGAUUAGAUACCCGAGUA
rnacentral:rRNA from 1 species